rnacentral:rRNA from 1 species
UUGACCUCAAAUCAGGUAGGACUACCCGCUGAACUUAAGCAUAUCAAUAAGCGGAGGAAAAGAAACUAACAAGGAUUCCCCUAGUAACUGCGAGUGAAGCGGGAAAAGCUCAAUUUAAAAUCUGGCGUGCCUUUGGCCGCCCGAGUUGUAGUCUGGAGAAGUGUUUUCUGUGCCGGACCGUGUACAAGUCCCUUGGAACAGGGCCUCAUAGAGGGUGAGAAUCCCG